ensembl:lncRNA
GGGUGGUGCUGUGUGGAGCCAGGAAUUGGACCUGAUGAUCCUAAUCCAACCAGAGAAAUCCUACAAUUCUAAUAAUUAUUUUUCCUCAGGUUGAUUUUAGUCCACUCUGCCUAUCAGGAAAAGCUUCUGAGAAGAGAUGACUAUGUGGGAUUCUUUUCCAAGAAGCUGGUUUGGAUUCUGGAAAUAAGACCCUGAGGAACCAACCAGAGCUUCAUGGAGGCCAGGACAGGAUGUCAGGACAGCAUGGCUCCACCAGUACCUGCUGUUGGCCCAUUCACAGAGUUCUUGGACUGCACCUCAAUUUUGAACCUAAGUACCCUAAAUGAAGAGGAGGAAGGGGGAAGCUUUUCACACAGAGAGUGGUGACGCACUGGAACAGGUUGCCCAAGGAGGUUGUGGAUGCCCCAUCCCUGGAGGCAUUCAAGGCCAGGCUGGAUGUGGCUCUGAGCAGCCUGGUCUGGUGGUUGGCGACCCUGCACAUAGCAGGGGGUUGAAACCAGAUGAUCAUUGUGGUCCUUUUCAACCCAGGCCAUUCUAUGAUUCUAUGAUUCCAUGAUUUCCUUUCCCCCACUGAUUUCCUUGUUGUGAGUACAAGCAGCAGGGCAGAACUUCACUUAAUGAGCUCAUACAGCUCUUUGUAUUGUCGUGGUGCAGUUGCAUUGCAAGGCUCAGAGGCUCUCCAUCAGUCAGAGCUCUUCCCUUCCUACAAAAUUAGUGGAGGUCCAUCCCAACAGGCAGACUGCAAGUGACCUCUGCUAGAAUUUCAUUGCUCUUACUGUUGAGAGCCUUUCCCUCAUGUCCAUCCCAAGUCUUCCACUGGCACUGAGGGAUGUGAUUAAUGGUCAUGGUGGUUAUGGGGGUGAUGGUUGGUCUAGAUGACCUUAGUGGUCUUUCCCAACCUUAGUGAUUCUAUGAUUCUAUGAUUCCUCCUUUGAAUUUAAACUUAUCCAGCAGGCCCUGAUGUCCAUAAGUGCCUCUAGAGGUCACUUCUGCAAUGUAGCUUUUCUGCACUUGCCUACCUUAUUCAGCAGUGAUGCUUUGUACUGAAAGAAUGACUCGCCUAUGGGUGAGUAUCUCGUUGUAAACAAGGAUCUAAAGCCCAGGCACUGAGGUGCCAUGGAAGUAACCUCAAACAAGGCAGUCUUUUUCCUUUCAGAAGUGCAAAACAGCAACUUCACCAGCAUCUGGUUCAUGCGGGCUUAGCCUCAGCCUUGGCCAUUAAUAUUAGCAGGCAGCACUCUGGAAAAACCUGUCCUCACUAGCCACCAGGAGUGUAAUAAAUAUAUACCACAGCAGCGUUAUCC